GUGACAUGUUUGAUCCAAUGAACUCGCUCCCCCUUUUUUCCUCGGUCUCCCCCGGUGGAACUGGACUUUCAGGUCUGUGCAGGUAAAGGCGUGUGCGGCGGUGUGAGAAGCAGCGGGACGGCAGAACCAGAGCUACAGCCUGCAGAAAAGAGGAAAGUCAGCCUGGAGAGACAAGGAAAGCCAGAAGGAGGUGUUCUGCAUGGCGGAGAAGUGUUUGGAGAGGACCCGGCCGUCGAGCUGACAGUCACCCACCCUCCUGCGCACCUUGCCUGGAGAGCUCGGUGCUGCCCUAGGACCAGGCUGUGCGGGCAGCAGCACUGACCCACUGGGGAAAGGAGAGGACAAGGACCUCAAACCCAAGGGUUACUUUGAGAAAAGGGAGCGGAAAUGUAGCAGAGAGACUUCCAUCUGCUUCACCUGCCCUCAGUCCCCAUUCCUCCACUGGGGGAAGGUCGGGACCCUACUCACUUUUCUUGCUCAGGACCCUACUCGUUUUUCCUGCUACCACACUUAACCCCGUUUGUUCCUUGAGACACCUUCCUAUCCUAAGCAUCCAACUUCGUCUCUGCCACAUAUAGAGAACAUACACCAAUAUAUCCGCAACAAAGUCAACUUGCUGAAAAGCCACUGAAUUUAUACUGUCCUAGGAGAAGGGUUUUCUACGUUUGAUUUCACCUGAUGGGAAUGUACUAGAAGGGAUAUUCAUAGCAAUAAAUAUCUAUAUAACAAAAUCUACACUUCUGCAUGUGUCUCUAAGCAUGUAGUAUUGCAUCCUAGGGCCUGAUCCUAGUCUUUCACCUGCAGCUGAAGUCAAGCUUGACUCUCUGAAGUCUUUGAUGUUACAGGAUCACAACCAGGCACAAAUAACUGUUACUGUAUCUCCGGCCUUAUCUGUAUUCACAGUAAAUAACCAAAUUAAGCCAGUUCAGGAGAUAUCAGUUUAAGUCAGCUUAAGCGUAGCUCCGUGAAGAUUUCCAUCGUAUUUCUAACUAAGCAGAAUUAGAGAAAUGCUUCAGCUAGAUUAAUGACGCUUUGAUUGAGCACAAGAUAUUAGUUAGCCUUUCUCUUCCUCCGUUCAUCAGUCACCGGAAAGAAACAUUAUCAUGCAAUCUGCGGCUCCAAUCAGAAGUUGCUAAUGUGGCCUGAAUUUUGAAUAGCAAAUACUGGUUUUAAACUUUUCAUUCUGUAGGCCGUUAUUUAUAACAACGCUUGCAUAAAUUGCUUUGUGUAACGCAUUCUGGGGAAGCCGUGAGGCUUCAUAAAACAAGAGAAACAGAGUAACUUAUUCAUUACAAAUAAAGCAGUCGUUCUGAAUACAGAAUUACUCUGUAGUCUGGAAACAAGUUGAGCCUCUCAGGCACUGUGAGAUACUGCGAGUUGUUCUGGAGAAGUACGGGGAAUGCUGGAAGAGUUUAAGUUAAUGAAACCUCCCUGCUAAAUGCAGAAACGAUAGCAUUUCUUUCACAAAUAUUUGUUAUGCUGAAAGAAGCCUGAAAAGGUUGCCUAUUUGAGCACUGUCAAUAGGAUUAAGCCCAACUCAGGUAUCCACUUUCUCUUUUUUAAUAUUUUAACUAUGGGGAGUAUUUGGAAGUGGAUUUUUUUUUUCCUGUAUGAAAUGUAUAGCAAAAACUGGGGGGAAGGUCAGUGAUGAGCACUUUUGGAAAUGCCAACCUCCCCAGGUAGAAAUGCUGCUGAUGUGUGAUUUUGCAGGAAAGAAAACGGCAUUUGAUGCAAUCUGCAGUCUUGGACCAAACCCAGACUGCAACUCAAACUGAAAUGGAGUUUGUUGUUCCAGUACCGGGUCAGCUACAAAACCAUCUUUAGCAGCCCUCCCUCAGGAGAAGUUCUCGUAGGACGAGGUCGCCAGGAGGCUGAACUCUGCUGCUCAAAACCUGCAGAAGCGGUCCAAGGUCAGAGGUAGGCACAGAAGGGGAAAAUGCAGCAGGGAACGCACAGCUGAGGUUGUUGGGGAUGACAACUGUUAUUCAGCUGGGGCUUGCUUAGAUGGAAAAACAGACCCUGGAAAUUCUUUUAACCAGGUUGCAGGCGUUGGGCUCAUCAUUUUCUGGGCGAGCCUUGUGCUUCGGGCUGCAGACCGGAAUCCAAUUGUGAGCGCCGGAGUCCACCUCUAGCCGAGCAGGUCAAACAAGUCCUGCCUAAUCCAGCCCGAUGCUCAUUCUUCACGAGUUACAAGAUUAUUAUAAACUAAUCUGUUAGUCACUGAAAAAAUCAUCUAAUGUUAUUUCUGGCCAGACCAGUCUUGCUUCCCAUAGAAGAAAGGCUGCGUAGAGCAAAAAUAAAACGGUCGUGCGAUGCAUUAUUGAACAUCCAGGACCCGUCUUUGGGGUGUCCGGGGACAACCUAAAAUAGCAGAUCACUGUUUUUCGUGCUGUUUGCUGCUUUGCACAGCAGCUGCUAGGUUUUUUGUGGCGUUGUUCUAAGGAUUCGGUGUAGAAUCCAGCUGUCUAGAGCUUUACCUCGUGUUUACGUUAUUUGCUCCAUAGCAUCAACGUUGUUUGGACUUGCCAGCGCUGGGCAAAGGAAACGGAGUGUACAAAUAAGGCUUAACUAGGCUUACUAAUUGCACGAAGCAACUGAAAUCUCCUUCAGAAAACUAUUAAAAGUCUCUGCGAUGGAAGACGUUAGGGAGGUAUUUAUGUCAAAACAGUGUUCGGGGAGAGCUGAGAUGUUUGGAAACAAGGGUUUCGAGUGGGCAAGGAUUACCACCUAUUUUUAUUUCUAUAUUUCUGUGUCGCUGAUGGCUGUUGUUACAAAACGCACUCUGGCACAGUAAGUUCAAAGCCAACCACCUACCUACGAAUUCUGCCACCCGUUUGCUGUUAGUCCUUCCCAUAGCCCUUCCUUUGUAGUCGUCUUCUGUCUGAACUUAUGUUUAUUGGGAUUUGCACAGACCUUGAUCUUCAGCUGAUUUCAGUGAAGCCUCACGUACAUCAAAUAAAUAGAAUUUAGCCCUCCUGGAUCCCAAAUGGAUCAUUCCUAUGCUCUAAUAAUGAAUUAUGUUACACUAUUAACUUUUAGGAAAGCACUUCUAGUAACCAAGAUCCUAAUAACACUUUGCUUUUAAUGUUUCACAAGAAAACUAUGAAAUUGCUAUCGGGAUACUGUGAUUCGUGGCGAGUACCUGCUGCCAGGAAACUGCCGGUUGUGCUGCCCACACAGGUCAGCUGGGAUCCCUGGAGCAAGCUGCAGCUUCCCGAUGCCUCCCUCCACAUCUCGUAAGUCAGCAGCAGAGAGGACCGUGGAAUAUCAAGCAUUUCCUGGCCACAAGGCAGGGCGUGGAGCUCUUUUUUUUUUUUUUUGUGGCGCUUUCUAUUUGAAACACCAAUUUGCAUUUCUUUCAGAGCCCUCAAAGUAAGGUGGAAACCCGUAAGAAAAAAGGAUGGGGGUUAUUUAUUUUGGGGUUUGCUCUCUACGAGUGUAGGGUUCGUGAUUCUGAAAGAUGUCGGAGCUGUAAUGUGAAUAUCCAUUAUAUCAGCAGCUCCCAUCUGAGGCGAUGUGGUUUCAACUUAAAAGAGGAGAAGUCACUUUUAGUGAUGCAAAUAGCUCAGAGCCUGGCAGUCCUUUGGGGACUGAGACCCCGAGACAGCCUAGAAGGCAGCUAAAUCUGACAACAGAUCAGAAUAUUAGGUUCACACUUGAUUAAUAGACGUUAAAACACCAAUCCAUUUCGUAAAGAUUACUCACAGUUUUGGAAUUGAUUCAGUAGAGUUUAAUACACACGGAUAACUUCUCUGCAGAUGCUUUGAUCUCUCUGAUAGUAUUUUUUUAGUGAUUCACCCGAGCCUUUUGAAACAAGGGGAAAAUACAGUUAGGUCACCUAAUGACUGUAAUUUUGCUUUUAGUGAAAAACUGUAGUGUGAAAAAGAGUGAGAAAGCAUCUCUGAAAGACAACUGAAUGUGUUGUGGGAUCCGGGACUCUGGAAAUACCUUAAUUAAACUGAAAUGAAGGUUAUGUGAUGUCACUGUGAGGCAGAACCUAAAUAAGCUGAUCUCUGUAUUAAGAGUGCGUCUUUCUGAGGGUUUGUCCAGCAUCCCCUGUUAAGCAACAGCACCUUUGCAUCAUCAUACAACAAAUCUGCAAAUCCAUGGGCACAUUUUGAGCUUGAAUCCUUAAAUUCAGCUAUUUUGUAAUAGAGGUGAGAUAAUGCUAGUUUGCUUAAGUUGUGAACAGAAUUUCAGAAGCAAAUUGUUUUAAUACCUACAUAUCCUUUUGUUUAAUUACCGGGACACUCGUUUGUGGUGUUUUUUGUUGUUUUUGUUUUUAGUCCUCAGUAGUAGUAGUUUCUAAACCAACGUUUUUUUCCCCAAAAUUAGUGUUACGGUCUGCAGUGGGCUGGGGCAGAAGGGCUCUCACUGGGGACUGGGAACGGCAGAGAACGCCUUGGCCACUGAGGCUCCCGCUCCCAGCUCUCGUCAGUCAGCUCUUGAAUCAUGAUUUACCCAGCAUCACUCGAAAGGAAUCUGAAAUAGGUUUUCACAUGUUGAUCACUUCCCUGGGAGCUCCGUGUGUCUCUGCAUCAGCUGAGAGCUUAAAAAACAUGCAGACGCUCCGCAGGUCUGACGGCGCACCGCAAGAAGCGGCAUUCUGAAAGCGAAGAAGUCUCUUUUUUUGCUCUGACACUGUCUUAAAAUAGGUGCAAGUGUUCCAGCAGGCACACGGGGAGGGAUGGCACAUAAACAACUGAUGGUUUACUUUUCCCACACUCGGGAACUGGAGUAAAUUCAAAACAAAGCUUUGGAUUCACUUAAAAUUAACGCGUUUUCUUCCCCCCAAAUAAGUCAGUGCUGUAAUCAAAGAGCACGGCACUGAAGGAAUCACAGCGAAUGGAAAAAAGCUGCUUUCAGGGCUUGCUGAGGAGGAGGUGGGGCCGAUAGCCCCCGGGCAGUUGCUGAGUUAUCCUUGUGGCUGCCCUCAGGAGCAGGCAAAUGUUAUUCUACUUGAAGGG